AAAAUAGAUACCCGGGUAGUCCACGCCGUAAACGAUGAGUGCUAAGUGUUAGGGGGUUUCCGCCCCUUAGUGCUGCAGCUAACGCAUUAAGCACUCCGCCUGGGGAGUACGGUCGCAAGACUGAAACUCAAAGGAAUUGACGGGGGCCCGCACAAGCGGUGGAGCAUGUGGUUUAAUUCGAAGCAACGCGAAGAACCUUACCAGGUCUUGACAUCCCGCUGACCGCUAUGGAGACAUAGCUUUCCCUUCGGGGACAGCGGUGACAGGUGGUGCAUGGUUGUCGUCAGCUCGUGUCGUGAGAUGUUGGGUUAAGUCCCGCAACGAGCGCAACCCUUGUCCUUAGUUGCCAUCAUUCAGUUGGGCGCUCUAAGGAGACUGCCGUACAAAUACGGAGGAAGGUGGGGAUGACGUCAAAUCAUCAUGCCCCUUAUGACCUGGGCUACACACGUGCUACAAUGGACGGUACAAACGGUUGCGAAGUCGCGAGACGGAGCCAAUCCGAGAAAGCCGUUCUCAGUUCGGAUUGCAGGCUGCUAACG
rnacentral:rRNA from 1 species